CAGUCGCCGCGGUAAAACGUAGGUGGCAAGCGUUGUCCGGAAUUAUUGGGCGUAAAGCGCGCGCAGGUGGUUUAAUAAGUCUGAUGUGAAAGCCCACGGCUCAACCGUGGAGGGUCAUUGGAAACUGUUAAACUUGAGUGCAGGAGAGAAAAGUGGAAUUCCUAGUGUAGCGGUGAAAUGCGUAGAGAUUAGGAGGAACACCAGUGGCGAAGGCGGCUUUUUGGCCUGUAACUGACACUGAGGCGCGAAAGCGUGGGGAGCAAACAGGAUUAGAUACCCCCGUAGUCCCUGUCUCUUAUAC
rnacentral:rRNA from 1 species